rnacentral:rRNA from 2 species
AAACUAACAAGGAUUCCCCUAGUAACGGCGAGUGAAGAGGGAAGAGCCCAAGAUUGAAAGCUGGCGCCUUCGGCGUCCGCAUUGUAAUCUCAAGAAGUGUUUUCCGCUUCGGACCAUGCCUAAGUCCCUUGGAAAAGGGCAUCAUAGAGGGUGAUAAUCCCGUACAUGGCAUGGAGCGCCCGAAGCUUUGUGAUACGCUUUCUAAGAGUCGAGUUGUUUGGGAAUGCAGCUCAAAAUGGGUGGUAAAUGCCAUCUAAGGCUAAAUAUUGGGGAGAGACCGAUAGCGAACAAGUACAGUGAUGGAAAGAUGAAAAGAACUUUGAAAAGAGAGUUAAACAGUACGUGAAAUUGCCAAAAGGGAAGGGUAGGAGGUCAGAGAUGCGUCGCAGGAUUCAACCUUGCUUUUGCUUGGUGUUUUUCCUGCGUUGCAGGCCAACGUCGGUUUUGGGCACUGGAGAAGGGUAGGAGGAACGUGGCACCUCUCGGGGUGUGUUAUAGCCUCCUACUGGAUACAGCGACCGAGACCGAGGAACGCAGCGUACUCGUAAGAGCGGGCCUUUUGGCACCUUUACGCUUAGGGCGUUGGCAUAAUGGCCCUCUACCACCCGUCUUGA